UUUUUUUUUUUAAAGUAAAUUUUAUUCGUUUUUUAAAUAAUGAAGUACAUUGACAUAUGUAUGUAACAUGUAGACAAAAAACUAAUAAAUGACAAUCAGGUUCAGAUACAUAUAUACAGACACCAUGUUUCAUUUUCUUGCAGUUGAAGGAUGCUGUCUACUCUGUGAUGUAACAAAUUACUCUCCCUUUCUUGAUAUAACUAUAUUUACAGCAUAAUACCAUUGUUAUCUGC